GAACGCUGGCGGCAGGCCUAACACAUGCAAGUCGAGCGGUAGCACAGAGAGCUUGCUCUCGGGUGACGAGCGGCGGACGGGUGAGUAAUGUCUGGGAAACUGCCUGAUGGAGGGGGAUAACUACUGGAAACGGUAGCUAAUACCGCAUAAUGUCGCAAGACCAAAGUGGGGGACCUUCGGGCCUCAUGCCAUCAGAUGUGCCCAGAUGGGAUUAGCUAGUAGGUGGGGUAACGGCUCACCUAGGCGACGAUCCCUAGCUGGUCUGAGAGGAUGACCAGCCACACUGGAACUGAGACACGGUCCAGACUCCUACGGGAGGCAGCAGUGGGGAAUAUUGCACAAUGGGCGCAAGCCUGAUGCAGCCAUGCCGCGUGUGUGAAGAAGGCCUUCGGGUUGUAAAGCACUUUCAGCGGGGAGGAAGGCGGUAAGGUUAAUAACCUCAUCGAUUGACGUUACCCGCAGAAGAAGCACCGGCUAACUCCGUGCCAGCAGCCGCGGUAAUACGGAGGGUGCAAGCGUUAAUCGGAAUUACUGGGCGUAAAGCGCACGCAGGCGGUCUGUCAAGUCGGAUGUGAAAUCCCCGGGCUCAACCUGGGAACUGCAUUCGAAACUGGCAGGCUAGAGUCUUGUAGAGGGGGGUAGAAUUCCAGGUGUAGCGGUGAAAUGCGUAGAGAUCUGGAGGAAUACCGGUGGCGAAGGCGGCCCCCUGGACAAAGACUGACGCUCAGGUGCGAAAGCGUGGGGAGCAAACAGGAUUAGAUACCCUGGUAGUCCACGCCGUAAACGAUGUCGAUUUGGAGGUUGUGCCCUUGAGGCGUGGCUUCCGGAGCUAACGCGUUAAAUCGACCGCCUGGGGAGUACGGCCGCAAGGUUAAAACUCAAAUGAAUUGACGGGGGCCCGCACAAGCGGUGGAGCAUGUGGUUUAAUUCGAUGCAACGCGAAGAACCUUACCUGGUCUUGACAUCCACAGAACUUUCCAGAGAUGGAUUGGUGCCUUCGGGAACUGUGAGACAGGUGCUGCAUGGCUGUCGUCAGCUCGUGUUGUGAAAUGUUGGGUUAAGUCCCGCAACGAGCGCAACCCUUAUCCUUUGUUGCCAGCGGUCCGGCCGGGAACUCAAAGGAGACUGCCAGUGAUAAACUGGAGGAAGGUGGGGAUGACGUCAAGUCAUCAUGGCCCUUACGACCAGGGCUACACACGUGCUACAAUGGCAUAUACAAAGAGAAGCGACCUCGCGAGAGCAAGCGGACCUCAUAAAGUAUGUCGUAGUCCGGAUUGGAGUCUGCAACUCGACUCCAUGAAGUCGGAAUCGCUAGUAAUCGUAGAUCAGAAUGCUACGGUGAAUACGUUCCCGGGCCUUGUACACACCGCCCGUCACACCAUGGGAGUGGGUUGCAAAAGAAGUAGGUAGCUUAACCUUCGGGAGGGCGCUUACCACUUUGUGAUUCAUGACUGGGGUGAAGUCGUAACAAGGUAACCGUAGGGGAACCUGCGGCUGGAUCAC
rnacentral:rRNA from 1 species